CGUAGGGUGCAAGCGUUAAUCGGAAUUACUGGGCGUAAAGCGUGCGCAGGCGGUUUUGUAAGUCUGUCGUGAAAUCCCCGGGCUUAACCUGGGAAUGGCGAUGGAGACUGCAAGGCUAGAGUUUGGCAGAGGGGGGUAGAAUUCCACGUGUAGCAGUGAAAUGCGUAGAGAUGUGGAGGAACACCGAUGGCGAAGGCAGCCCCCUGGGUCAAAACUGACGCUCAUGCACGAAAGCGUGGGGAGCAAACAGG
rnacentral:rRNA from 1 species